rnacentral:rRNA from 1 species
GCUGGCGGUGCGCCUUAUGCAUGCAAGUCGAGCGAAGCUUUUCAGUAGUUUACUACAGAAAAUGACUGAGCGGCGAACGGGUGAGUAACGCGUGAGCAAUCUACCUUAGUUACUGGGAUAGCCCGAGGAAACUCGGAUUAAUACCGGAUAAUCUUAUUACAUCACAUGAUAUUUUAAGUAAAGGUCAGCCGAACUAAGAUGAGCUCGCGUUCUAUCAGCUUGUUGGUGGGGUAAAAGCCUACCAAGGCUACGACGGAUAGCUGGUCUGAGAGGACGAUCAGCCACACUGGGACUGAGACACGGCCCAGACUCCUACGGGAGGCUGCAGCAGGGAAUAUUGCGCAAUGAGCGAAAGCUUGACGCAGCGACACCGCGUGUGGGAUGACGGUUCUAGGAUUGUAAACCACUUUCAGGAGGGAAGAAAAUGACGGUACCUCCACAAGAAGCCCCGGCCAACUACGUGCCAGCAGCCGCGGUAAUACGUAGGGGGCGAGCGUUGUCCGGAUUUAUUGGGCGUAAAGAGCUCGUAGGCGGUUCAACAAGUCGGUCGUGAAAGUUCAGGGCUUAACCCUGAAAUGUCGAUCGAUACUGUUGUGACUAGGAUAUGGUAGAGGUGAGUGGAAUUCCGAGUGUAGCGGUGAAAUGCGUAGAUAUUCGGAGGAACACCAAUAGCGAAGGCAGCUCACUGGACCACUAUCGACGCUGAGGAGCGAAAGCUAGGGGAGCAAACAGGAUUAGAUACCCUGGUAGUCCUAGCUGUAAACGAUGGAUACUAGAUGUAGGAAUUGGAUUGACGAUUUCUGUAUCGUAGCUAACGCGUUAAGUAUCCCGCCU